CUUUGUCUAUCUUUUUAGAUAGUAAAAGUCGUAACAAGGUUUCCGUAGGUGAACCUGCGGAAGGAUCAUUAUCGUACAACGUGCGUUGAGGGCGUGCGAGGGCUGUCGCUGACUUUUUGUUGACGCAAAAGUCGUGCACGCCGGAGCGCGUCCUCUCGCAUAAAAUCCAUCUCACCCUUUUGUGCACCACCGCGUGGGCACCUUUUGGGAUCGAACCGAUCCUGGAGGGGGCUUGCGUUUUCACACAAACCCCUUUUAAAAAGUGUAGAAUGACCCCAUUUUGCGAUGACACGCAAUCAAUACAACUUUCAACAACGGAUCUCUUGGCUCUCGCAUCGAUGAAGAACGCAGCGAAAUGCGAUACGUAAUGUGAAUUGCAGAAUUCAGUGAAUCAUCGAAUCUUUGAACGCACCUUGCGCCCCUUGGUAUUCCGAGGGGCACACCCGUUUGAGUGUCGUGAAAUUCUCAACCUUCUCGGUUUUCUUCUGGACACCGAAGGAGGCUUGGACAUUGGAGGCCUUUGCUGGCGUCUCUUAGACCCAGCUCCUCUUAAAUGAAUUAGCGGGGUCCUCUUUGCCGAUCCUUGACAUGUGAUAAGAUGUUUCCAUGACUUGGUUUCUGGCUCUGUUGCAUUUGGGACCCGCUUCUAACCGUCUCGACGAGACAACGUUUGGGCGUGUCUCCCUUCUCGGGAGACUCUCUCAACCCCCACGAACCCUUGACCUCAAAUCGGGUGAGACUACCCGCUGAACUUA
rnacentral:rRNA from 1 species